GGGGAAUUUUGGACAAUGGGGGCAACCCUGAUCCAGCCAUGCCGCGUGCGGGAAGAAGGCCUUCGGGUUGUAAACCGCUUUUAGCCGGGAAGAAAAGGGCGAGGUUAAUACCUUCGUUCGUUGACGGUACCGGCGGAAUAAGCACCGGCUAACUACGUGCCAGCAGCCGCGGUAAUACGUAGGGUGCGAGCGUUAAUCGGAAUUACUGGGCGUAAAGCGUGCGCAGGCGGUUCGUUAAGUUCGUUGUGAAAGCCCCGGGCUCAACCUGGGAAUGGCAAUGGAAACUGGCGGGCUGGAGUGUGGCAGAGGGGGGUGGAAUUCCGCGUGUAGCAGUGAAAUGCGUAGAGAUGCGGAGGAACACCGAUGGCGAAGGCAGCCCCCUGGGCCAACACUGACGCUCAGGCACGAAAGCGUGGGGAGCAAAC
rnacentral:rRNA from 1 species